GAUGAAGAACGCAGCGAAAUGCGAUAAGUAAUGUGAAUUGCAGAAUUCAGUGAAUCAUCGAAUCUUUGAACGCACAUUGCGCCCGUCAGUAUUCUGGCGGGCAUGCCUGUUCGAGCGUCAUUACGCUCCUCAAGUCCCCUGUGGACUUGGUGUUGGGGAUCGGCGAGGCUGGUUUUCCAGCACAGCCGUCCCUUAAAUUAAUUGGCGGUCUCGCCGUGGCCCUCCUCUGCGCAGUAGUAAAACACUCGCAACAGGAGCCCGGCGCGGUCCACUGCCGUAAAACCCCCCAACUUUUUAUAGUUGACCUCGAAUCAGGUAGGACUACCCGCUGAACUUAAGCAUAUCAAUAAGCGGAGGA
rnacentral:misc_RNA from 1 species